rnacentral:rRNA from 1 species
CAGAGGGUGCGUAGGCGUUAAUCGGAAUUACUGGGCGUAAAGCGCGCGUAGGCGGCUUUGCAAGUCGGGUGUGAAAUCCCCAGGCUUAACCUGGGAACUGCAUUCGAGACUGCAUUGCUAGAGUAUGGGAGAGGGAAGUGGAAUUUCAGGUGUAGCGGUGAAAUGCGUAGAUAUCUGAAGGAACAUCAGUGGCGAAAGCGACUUCCUGGACCAAUACUGACGCUCAUGUGCGAAAGCGUGGGGAGCAAACAGGAUUAGAUACCCUGGUAGUCCACGCCAUAAACGAUGAGAACUGGAUGUCGGGGGGGUCUGCCCCUCGGUGUCGUAGCUAACGCGUUAAGUUCUCCGCCUGGGGAGUACGGCCGCAAGGUUG